AUACCUUUCUCGGUCUUUUGGCUAAGAUCAAGUGUAGUAUCUGUUCUUAUCAGUUUAAUAUCUGAUAUUAUGGCCAUGUGCCCACAAUGAUAUUAAAUUCAUUUUUUGUGGGGAAGGGUCCACCACUAUGGCUUGCUAUUGGGGCCCUUACGUGUCGCCCAGAUGUUGCACUGCUGCCUGGGCCUGGCGCACCCCAA
rfam:Triticum aestivum genome assembly, contig: Triticum_aestivum_CS42_TGACv1_scaffold_404217_5BL